rnacentral:rRNA from 1 species
CCGGGUCCGGACACACUGAGGAUUGACAGGCAAUAUUAGCACUUAGCUUCGGCGACGUGUUAUGUUAAAUAUGCUAGUCCUUUCAUGAUUAUGUGAUAGGUGGUGCAUGGCCGUUCUUAGUUCGUGGAGUGAUCUGUCUGCUUAAUUGCGUUUCACCAAGGGCCUAUAAUUUUACGUGUGUUGCGGCACUUUGACCCCUCUUUUUUUAAAGAGCGCGUGUCUUGGUUUGCUUAGCUCGCACAAUUAGGUCCUGAAAGCAACGAACGUGACCGCAACCUCUUGUUGCCUUUAUACCAAACGUGCAUAUGCAAUUUUUUAAUUGCUUUGCGCGCAAAAAGGCUUUUUAAACUAGAGGGACCGCUGUUACUUUCUUAAACCAGAGGAAGGUUGCGGCAAUAACAGGUC